rnacentral:rRNA from 1 species
AUUGAACGCUGGCGGCAGGCCUAACACAUGCAAGUCGAGCGAGCGGCGGACGGGUGAGUAAUGUCUGGGAAACUGCCCGAUGGAGGGGGAUAACUACUGGAAACGGUAGCUAAUACCGCAUACCAUCGGAUGUGCCCAUAUGGGAUUAGCUUGUAGGUGAGGUAACGGCUCACCUAGGCGACGAUCCCUAGCUGGUCUGCGAGGAUGACCAGCCACACUGGAACUGAGACACGGUCCAGACGCCUACGGGAGGCAGCAGUGGGGAAUAUUGCACAAUGGGCGCAAGCCUGAUGCAGCCAUGCCGCGUGUAUGAAGAAGGCCUUCGGGUUGUAAAGUACUUUCAGCGGGGAGGCGUUACCCGCAGAAGAAGCACCGGCUAACUCCGUGCCAGCAGCCGCGGUAAUAC